rnacentral:tmRNA from 1 species
GGGGAUGACUUGGUUUCGACUGGAGUAGUCGGAGUUAUGUGCAUGUCGGACUGAGCAUUCCGUUAUACGGCUCAAAUUGCAUAACUGCAAACAAUACAGAUUACCGUCCAGCUUACGCAGUAGCGUAAGUAUACCCCGAGCGAUCGGAGGACUGCCUUACCGACAAGUUCCAUCUUACUCGGAUUUUAGGCAUCACAUCUGAUGGAUAUGCUCUGUAGAAGCCAUGCUACAGUGUGAGAAUUUUGGCUGGUUUUGUGUAGCUUUGGGUGUUGUGCGAAGCAAAACGAGAUUUAACAUCACCAACUAAGCAUGUAGACUCAUAACACUAGCUAUUUUAGGACAGGGGUUCAAUUCCCCUCGUCUCCACCA